UACGGAGGAUGCGAGCGUUAUCCGGAUUCAUUGGGUUUAAAGGGUGCGCAGGCGGACUGAUAAGUCAGUGGUGAAAUCCCAUAGCUCAACUAUGGAACUGCCAUUGAUACUGUUAGACUAGAGUGUAUUUGACGUAGGCGGAAUGCGACAUGUAGCGGUGAAAUGCUUAGAUAUGUCGCAGAACACCGAUUGCGAAGGCAGCUUACGAAACUACAACUGACGCUCAUGCACGAAAGCGUGGGGAUCGAACAGG
rnacentral:rRNA from 1 species